AUUGAACGCUGGCGGCAGGCCUAACACAUGCAAGUCGAACGGUAACAGGGAGAGGGUUUCUUCUUUGCUGACGAGUGGCGGGGGGGUGAGUAAUGUCUGUGAAACUGCCUGUUGGAGGGGGGGAACUCCUGGAAACGGUAGCGAAUACCGCAUAACGUCCCAAGAGCAAAAAGCAGGAGCUUCUGGCACCUUGCGAUAUGGAGUGACCCGAUGGGAUUAGCUAGUGGGGGGGGUAACGGCCCACCAAGGCGACGAUCCGUAGCUGGUCUGAGAGGAUGAUCAGCCACACUGGAACUGAGACACGGUCCAGACUCCUACGGGAGGCAGCAGUGGGGAAUAUUGGACAAUGGGCGCAAGCCUGAUCCAGCCAUGCCGCGUGUGUGAAGAAGGCCUUCGGGUUGUAAAGCCCUUUUGUUGGGAAAGAAAAGCAUCAGGUUAAUACCCCGCUGCUCUGACGGUACCCAAAGAAUAAGCACCGGCUAACUUCGUG
rnacentral:rRNA from 1 species